UACCAGCACCCCGAGUGGUCGGGACGAUUAUUGGGCGUAAAGGGCGCGUAGGCGGCUUGGCAAGUGGAUGGUGAAAUCCCUCGGCUUAACCGAGGAACUGCCGUCCAAACUGCUUAGCUUGAGACCGGGAGAGGUGAGUGGAAUUCCCAGUGUAGCGGUGAAAUGCGUAGAUAUUGGGAGGAACACCAGUGGCGAAGGCGGCUCACUGGACCGGUACUGACGCUGAUGCGCGAAAGCGUGGGGAGCGAACAGG
rnacentral:rRNA from 1 species